GUCAGAUAAUUGAGGAAUGCCUCAUAUUGUGUACAUAUCCUUACUAUAUGUUUCUAUCCAUGUCAGAAUGUUUCUUUUCAUAACUGAGUCAGCGUGUAAUGGCAUAUUUAAUCUCUAUAAUAAAACAGAAAAACAAACUUUACCAACUGGCCAGUUUGCUUUUAAGUGUAAACAAAUACUUUAUAAUUUGACGUUGUUUUUGUUUAUUUAACAUUUGAUGCAUUUACAGUUCUGCUUAUGUUGUGACAGUUAUAUUGUGUCUAUAAUACAAUGUAUUUGUCUCUGUAUGAAGCAUAGCUAUUGUUCCAUAAAGUGCUAAGCAAACAGCUAUACCUGUUAAACAGACAUUGCCUGUUGUCUAUGUGGCAGUUAAAAGAGUUACUGUUGAAAAUGCAAAUUAUCUUUUUUCUUGCCUUUGGCAGUAGACUGGGUAGAAAUGUCUUUGUCUGUCAUGGCCAUGUUCUGCAGAAGCACUAGGCCUGUGCUCAGACAUAUAAAGGACAUUAUCUGAGCAGAUGUCACCUGCACUAGCUGUCUGGAGCUGUUCACAUUUGCCCUUCGAAGGAUUAGUUUCCAUGGCACCCUAAAGAAAACGUCACCCAGCACUAGAGAGUAGCGGCCAGUUUCACCUCACCAUCACCUCUGCAAAAUAAAUGAAUGACAUCAGGAACGACAAUAUUCACACAAGAUAUCCAAAUCCUGCCAGUAUGAGGAAACAAUAACACCGUUUCCUUUUGGAGUGAGGCGGAAGAAAACUUUCUGAUUUGCAAAGGACUGAUUUGCAAGUCAAAUCACUCUGACAGUUACACCUUGUUUUUGCAUUUGGAACUGUAUAUUGAAACACCCUUACAGACCAUCUUCUGAUGUAGCCUCUUAUUUUUUUCAUGUUUUGAAUGAAAUCUCAAUUGCUAAUAAAGGCUGCAUUUAUU